UAAAAUACCCAACUAACAUUAUCCAUAAACAAAAACAAAAUAUGAAUACAUUGUUUGAUCAACAAUUCAAAAGUUAAAAUAGAUGAGUUUGCAUAAAAAAAUAAAGUUCUAAACUAAAAUAUCCUUGAACAUGACAAUAGAAAGUCUAACAACGAUCAACAACACUCAAGUAAGGUCUUCGUCACUGCUUUCAUCCACAAUCGAUGCACCUGCAAAAUACAAUUAGAAAUAAUUGAACAAUAUUUUUAAGAUAAUUGAAUGACAAUUAAGUGCGCACCAAAGCAGUCGAGGUGCAGCAACAAGUGAUUGGGCAGUCAAAUAUGCAGAUAGUUUCAUGCGUGCAGGAGAAGAGAGCUGGGGUGCACAAGGUUGUGUGUUCAGAUUUGGGUGUAAUUGAUGAUUGAGCU
rnacentral:lncRNA from 1 species